rnacentral:lncRNA from 1 species
CUUACGGAUCCACCAUCUGAAGAACCUGCUACCAAUGCAUCUCGUGCUGUAAGAGAUAGUUAUUUGAAGUGACUCAGUAAUCGCAUGACAGUGCGUUGCAUUAUGAGGGCAGCCAUGAUGAUAAACUUAGUCGUAAGUUUGAGAAUGCACAGCUAGAGGAUAUGAUUCAAAUAUUGAAAGAGUCCUUUGGCACCCCUAA